rnacentral:rRNA from 1 species
GAUGAACGCUGGCGGCGUGCCUAAUACAUGCAAGUCGAGCGAACAGACGAGGAGCUUGCUCCUCUGACGUUAGCGGCGGACGGAUGAGUAACACGUGGAUAACCUACCUAUAAGACUGGGAUAACUUCGGGAAACCGGAGCUAAUACCGGAUAAUAUAUUGAACCGCAUGGUUCAAUAGUGAAAGACGGUUUUGCUGUCACUUAUAGAUGGAUCCGCGCCGCAUUAGCUAGUUGGUAAGGUAACGGCUUACCAAGGCAACGAUGCGUAGCCGACCUGAGAGGGUGAUCGGCCACACUGGAACUGAGACACGGUCCAGACUCCUACGGGAGGCAGCAGUAGGGAAUCUUCCGCAAUGGGCGAAAGCCUGACGGAGCAACGCCGCGUGAGUGAUGAAGGUCUUCGGAUCGUAAAACUCUGUUAUUAGGGAAGAACAAAUGUGUAAGUAACUAUGCACGUCUUGACGGUACCUAAUCAGAAAGCCACGGCUAACUACGU